AUGGAGAGCGUCGAGCACCACGACGAAGCCGCCACCGGCCUCUCCCUUUCCCCUCCCCCUACGUCGGCGCCGCUCUCCCCACUGAUAUCCCCCAACUCCGCGGCGGUGGCGGCGCUAGCGAACGCGUGUUGGGUGCCUACCAGGGAGCAGAUCACGGUGCUGGAGGGGCUGUACCGGCAGGGGAUGCGCACCCCCACCGCCGAGGAGAUACACCAGGUGACGGCGAGGCUGCAAGAGCACGGCCCCAUCGAGGGCAAGAACGUCUUCUACUGGUUCCAGAACCGGCUGCGCCAGAAGCAGAAGCAGCAGCAGCAGAGAUCCGACUACUUCGCCAGGCAGCUCCGCCGUCCCCAGCCGCUGCCGACGCUCCGCAGGACCCCCGGCAACCCCUUCUCCCCGGUCCAGCUGCAGGCGCCGCCGGCGCCGAACCCUCCUGCAUGCAACAGAGAAGCAAUGUACAUGCAGCAGCCAUGCUAUAUGUCAGGGCCAGCAGCACAGGCCGCGGCUAAUGCAACCUACUACUCACAGAUGCAGACGCACAUAAUGUAUCCGACUGCGGAGAUGAUGGCGCAUGGCAAUGUACAGGCACAGGCGCAGGCCGCCAUGUACUACCAGGCAGCAUCUCCGAACAACUCCAACACCCAACAAAUGCGCGUACUCCAGUUCCCCCCGGCCGCCGGCAGCUAUGGGGCGCAUGAUGCCUACUCCCACCGCCCCGUGCUUCUGAAUCUGUUCCCACAGUACCCCACCUUUGCAAAUCGCAAGAAGACCCGUUGCGUCGGGAGCGUUGGCUCCGCGAGGCCAUCGACCUCAAGGUCGAUCUCUUGGGAAAUGGAGAGUCCCAAGAUCCCCGACUGA
rnacentral:rRNA from 1 species